rnacentral:rRNA from 1 species
AGACAGAAACCGACCUGGCUCACGCCGGUUUAAACUCAGAUCAUGUAAAAUUUUAAAGGUCGAACAGACCUAAUUAUCUAGCAUCUACACCAAACAUUUAUUUUAAUCCAACAUCGAGGUCGCAACCCUUCUAUUCGAUAAGAUCUCUAAAGAAGAUUACGCUGUUAUCCCUAAGGUAAUUUAAUCUUAUAAUCCAAAACAUAGGCUCAAAAAUUCACAAAUUAAUGUCUUUAAUUAAAAAAAGUUAAAUUAAUUUUUCUAUCACCCCAACAAAAUAGAUUGGCCUAGCAAUUAACUUUUAAUCCUACAAAUCAAUAAACUAAACACAACUAUAAAACUCUAUAGGGUCUUCUCGUCUUCUACUAUCAUCUAAGCUUUCUCACUUAAAAAUAAAAUUCAAUUAAAUUUUUACAGAGACAGUCUUUUUUUCAUUAAACCCUUCAUACCAGCUUUCAAUUAAAAAACUAAUGAUUAUGCUACCUUUGUACGGUCAAUUUACCGCAGCCAUUUAAUUACUCAGUGGGCAGGUCAGACUUGAAAUUAUAAUCAACAAGCC